rnacentral:lncRNA from 1 species
AUAGUCACUGCUAAAAUUGAGGAUAUUUCUUAGGAAAAGCAAUACUUGCGUUGGGGCAAGGGGCGUCAAGCACUCUGAAAAUGUCUUCCUGACUCAUGGUUUCUACACUGGAACACGUGAUCUGAAGGUAGACAACCAACUUCUCCAACAUCUUAGGUUUCCUGGAAGGAGACUUGUCUCUGCCUCAACCCACAGGAAGCAUCACAAGCACCCAAAGGGAAAAAUAUCCCUGAGGACAGCCAGAAACAAAGGGGAAAGAUAAGACUGGUAUCCCCAGCUCUGGAAACUGCUCUCAACUUGGCCAAAAGAGAUCAAAUCAGAGCAGCUGUUCAGCAGCACUAUGCCGUGGGAGGUACAUUUCACAAGUCC